rnacentral:rRNA from 1 species
CCCUUAGAUGUUCUGGGCUGCACGCGUGUUACAAUCGGGAGUACAACAAGAUUGCAAAUCCUAGUGGAUGAGUGGUUCUUCGAAAUUUUCUGAAGACUGGGAUAGUUGAUUGAAAUUAUUCAACUCAAACGAGGAAUUCCUUGUAAUUGUAAUUCAUUAUAUUGUAAUGAAUACGUCCCUGCCCUUUGUACACACCGCCCGUCGCUCCUACCGAUUGAACGAUCCGGUGAAUUAUUUGGAGUAGCUCUGGAAGUUGCAGAACUUCCUAUGUCACGAAAUUCUGUAAACCUUAUCGUUUAGAGGAAGGAAAAGUCGUAACA